rnacentral:rRNA from 1 species
GACGAACGCUGGCGGCGUGCCUAAUACAUGCAAGUUGAGCGCUGAAGGUUGGUGCUUGUACCAACUGGAUGAGCAGCGAACGGGUGAGUAACGCGUGGGGAAUCUGCCUUUGAGCGGGGGACAACAUCUGGAAACGAAUGCUAAUACCGCAUAAAAUCUUUAAACACAAGUUUCAAGUUUGAAAGAUGCAAUUGCUGCACUCAAUGAUGAUCCCGCGUUGUAUUAGCUAGUUGGUGAGGUAAAGGCCAACCAAGGCAACGAUCCAUAGCCGACCUGAGAGGGGGAUCGGCCACAUGGGAACGGAAACACGCCCAAAACUCCUACGGAGGCCACCGUAGGGGAUCUUUGGCCAAGGAGGAAAGUCUGGCCGAACCACGCCCGGUGGGUGAAGAAAGUUUUCGGAUUGUAAAACUCUGUUGAUAGGGGAGAAAGUUAGUGAGAGUGGACAGCUCAUCAAGUGACGGUAACUAACCAGAAAGGGACGGCUAACUACGUG